GGGUUGUGAGGUUAAGCGACUAAGCGUACACGGUGGAUGCCCUGGCAGUCAGAGGCGAUGAAGGGCGUGCUAAUCUGCGAUAAGCGCCGGUAAGGUGAUAUGAACCGUUAUAACCGGCGAUACCCGAAUGGGGAAACCCAGUGUGAUUCGUCACACUAUCAUUAACUGAAUCCAUAGGUUAAUGAGGCGAACCGGGGGAACUGAAACAUCUAAGUACCCCGAGGAAAAGAAAUCAACCGAGAUUCCCCCAGUAGCGGCGAGCGAACGGGGAGGAGCCCAGAGCCUGAAUCAGCAUAUGUGUUAGUGGAAGCGUCUGGAAAGGCGCGCGAUACAGGGUGACAGCCCCGUACACAAAAGCGCAUGUGCUGUGAGCUCGAUGAGUAGGGCGGGACACGUGGUAUCCUGUCUGAAUAUGGGGGGACCAUCCUCCAAGGCUAAAUACUCCUGACUGACCGAUAGUGAACCAGUACCGUGAGGGAAAGGCGAAAAGAACCCCGGCGAGGGGAGUGAAAAAGAACCUGAAACCGUGUACGUACAAGCAGUGGGAGCCCCACCACCAAAGCAUUCUCUGGUGUUGAAGGCCCUGCAAAGCAGAAUCGCGGUGGCGGAGCGUCGUUUGCGACGCCCAACACACAAAACAAGCGGUGAGUGCUUUGGGGUGGGGUGACUGCGUACCUUUUGUAUAAUGGGUCAGCGACUUAUAUUCUGUAGCAAGGUUAACCGAAUAGGGGAGCCG
rnacentral:rRNA from 3 species